GAACUUGCGAGCCACUGUUUCCCCUCUCCUACUCCUCUCGAUCCGUAGCAUCCCCUUGAGACCGACCUCCGGGGCAGAAGCUCCGGUGGGAGAACUCCUCGAAAGGGCUCGGAGGACUGAAGGCUCGAUGUCGUAAGGGACAUCGACGGUGAGGGCCGCCUGGGAAACUCCUACGUCCGUGCCAGCAGCAAGGGAAAGAAAGAGGGAAAUCCUGAAAGAUCGGGAGAGAUUGCGAAUAAACCCUCGAAAGCUGAAUAAACGAAGCAAGAAGAGGAAGGAACAACAGCGAUGACAAGAGAGGUUUUGGAACCAACCAAAAUUGGCCCGACGUAGGCAGGGAGCCGACGGAGGUGGCGAAGAUUGAUGCAAGGAAUGCUUAGGGUUGAAAAGGGCGCCGAUGGGCGGCAGAACUCUCGGGUAGAAGAAAGGCGCCGUCUGGACUCUCAGGCAAAAUGAAGUCCCUGGAGGGAAGGAGGGGGUUUAAAUAAGCGACGGGGCCUGGCACAGUCAUGGUGGCGGAUAUCCCUAGGCCGACCAAUGCCCGCCACGUGUCCCACUCACCUUGGCAUAUGGUUGACUGUUGACGGGAUCAUUAUGGUGUGGUGUUUGGGACUGCGCUCCA
rnacentral:lncRNA from 1 species